UGGGGAAUAUUGCGCAAUGGGCGAAAGCCUGACGCAGCAACGCCGCGUGAGUGACGAAGGCCUUCGGGUCGUAAAGCUCUGUCGGAGGGGACGAUGGGAGUGUGUGAAUAAUACCUCACACUUUUGACGGUACCCUCAAAGGAAGCACCGGCUAACUCUGUGCCAGCAGCCGCGGUAAGACAGAGGGUGCAAGCGUUGUUCGGAAUUACUGGGCGUAAAGCGCGUGUAGGCGGCCUGAAAAGUCGGAUGUGAAAGCCCUCGGCUCAACUGAGGAAGUGCAUCCGAAACUGUCAGGCUCGAGUGCCGGAGAGGUAAGGGGAAUUCCCGGUGUAGAGGUGAAAUUCGUAGAUAUCGGGAGGAACACCGGCGGCGAAGGCGCCUUACUGGACGGCAACUGACGCUGAGACGCGAAAGCGUGGGGAGCAAACAG
rnacentral:rRNA from 1 species